CCUACGGGAGGCAGCAGUGAGGAAUAUUGGUCAAUGGACGAGAGUCUGAACCAGCCAAGUAGCGUGAAGGAUGACUGCCCUAUGGGUUGUAAACUUCUUUUAUAUGGGAAUAAAAUGUUCCACGUGUGGGAUUUUGUAUGUACCAUAUGAAUAAGGAUCGGCUAACUCCGUGCCAGCAGCCGCGGUAAUACGGAGGAGCCGAGCGUUAUCCGGAUUUAUUGGGUUUAAAGGGAGCGUAGGUGGAUGGUUAAGUCAGUUGUGAAAGUUUGCGGCUCAACCAUAAAAUUGCAGUUGAAACUGGCAGUCUUGAGUACAGUAGAGGUGGGCGGAAUUCGUGGUGUAGCGGUGAAAUGCUUAGAUAUCACGAAGAACUCCGAUUGCGAAGGCAGUUCACUGGACUGCAACUGACACUGAGGCUCGAAAGUGUGGGUAUCAAACAGGAUUAGAUACCCGGGUAGUC
rnacentral:rRNA from 1 species